AUGUUGGUUUUUGUUUUUAUUCAUAAUUCUCACUUUUAGGGAUAUCAAAAACCCUCACAAAAUAAAGUUGACUUCUACAAAACGUCAGUCCCUCUGGCUGAAGAGACCUACGUUUGUUGCUUGCUUCAGAGUUGGCAUUUUCAAAUGUUAAAAGGAACAUAAAAAACAGACAUGCAAAACAUGUACAUUUGUGUUUUUAAUAGGAGAGUUUUAUUUCAUCUGUGGUGGGAAGCACUACUAAAUAUGAGUUGUACACAUUAAUAAAUGUGUAAGGGAGUGCUUCAUGGUAGGAUCCCAACCAGGAGGAAUAACUAGGCUCAUCCAGAUCGGAUGGGAUAUCUACCUCCAUACAGCUCCUUUCCUAUGAUGACAAUUCGUAAGGGUGGGAAAGAAAAGAGGGGGGUACAUAUAUAUAAGUUUUGCUGGUUCUGGUUCUAGAAACAAAAUAUAUAGGUAAGGCCAAUUUUCCUGGAUAUCCCUUGGCGCUAAUUUCAGACAGAACAAAUGGACACUUAAGCCUCCAAUUCUAGACCCAGGCCAAGUUUGUGUCCUCCAGCAUUUAUGUUCUUUCCGUCUACCAAGGCGGCGAGAGUGAGUUUCACUCCUAAAUAGAGAGAAGAAGAAUGAUAUUGGUCAAUCUGUGGCAUCUGCUUCUUUGGAAUUUU